rnacentral:rRNA from 1 species
CCUCCGGGUGGCAGCAGUGGGGAAUAUUGCACAAUGGGGGAAACCCUGAUGCAGCGACGCCGCGUGAGUGAAGAAGUAUUUCGGUACGUAAAGCUCUAUCAGCAGGGAAGAAAAUGACGGUACCUGACUAAGAAGCCCCGGCCAACUACGUGCCAGCAGCCGCGGUAAUACGUAGGGGGCAAGCGUUCUCCGGAUGUACUGGGUGUAAAGGGAGCGUAGACGGCAGCGCAAGUCUGGAGUGAAAUCCCAGGGCUUAACCAUGGAACUGCUUUGGAAACUGGGCAGCUAGAGUGCAGGAGAGGUAAGCGGAAUUCCUGGUGUAGCGGUGAAAUGCGUAGAGAUUAGGAGGAACACCAGUGGCGAAGGCGGCUUACUGGACUAUGACUGACGUUGAGGCUCGAAAGCGUGGGGAGCAAACAGGAUUAGAUACCCUUGUAGUC